ensembl:rRNA 5S_rRNA 5S ribosomal RNA
GACAUUUGGUGGAGACUGUUGAAGACACCUGGUCCCAGCAGAACCCAGAAGGUGUCCACAUUCACUGGUGCUGGGGCAAGGUCAUUAAGGGUGAAGACUGGUGCCAGAUGUGC